rnacentral:misc_RNA from 1 species
UCCGGCUUAUCACCGGCAGUUUCCUCAGAGUUCUCAGCAUUACCUGUUAGCAACAGAGGAUGAGGGUUGCGCUCGUUGCGGGACUUAACCCAACAUCUCACGACACGAGCUGACGACAGCCAUGCAGCACCUGUGCUCCUCCCACCCGAAGUGAAGGGUCCCGUUUCCGGAACCCAUAGAGGGCAUGUCAAGGCCUGGUAAGGUUCUUCGCGUUGCCUCGAAUUAAACCACAUGUUCCACCGCUUGUGCGGGUCCCCGUCAAUUCCUUUAAGUUUCAGCCUUGCGGCCGUACUCCCCAGGCGGAGUGCUUAGCGCGUUAACUACGCCACCGAGGGUUAAACCCCCGACGGCUAGCACUCAUCGUUUAGGGCGUGGACUAC